UCCCCGGCAGCGGGGCAGCAGACCGGUCGGCGCCUCACGGCGUCACUUCCGCUCCCCGCGCCGCCAUCUUAGUGCCGGGCAGGAGGCGCCAUGACGCGGCGGGACCCGCGGCCGCUGUGCCGCCUGGUGCUGGCCGCCGUGGUGCUGCUGUCGUGGGGCUACGUGCUGUACGGGGCGCGGGGGGCAGCGAGGCGGCUGCUGCAGGGCGGCACCGCGGUGCCCUGAGGGGAGGAGGAAGAGGAGGAGGUGCAGAGAGGCCGAAGGACGCCGCCCGAGCAGCUCUGAGGGGAGGAUAAAGCGCCCGGUGCUCCCUGAGGGAGGGCAACGAGCUCUUAGGCAAGGUGGGAUCCACUUGGAGAGACCAUCUGCAACUCAAGUCAUCAGAACAGGCAGCUGGAAGUGUCUUUCCCUCACUGUGAGCUGCUUCUCCCUGCUGCCUGGUGCUCA